UACAGGGGGGGCAAGCGUUGUUCGGAAUUACUGGGCGUAAAGGGCCAGUAGGCGGCCGACUAAGUCCGACGUGAAAUCCCCAGGCUUAACCUGGGAACUGCGUCUGAUACUGGAUGGCUUGGAUUCGGGAGAGGAAUGCGGAAUUCCAGGUGUAGCGGUGAAAUGCGUAGAUAUCUGGAGGAACACCGGUGGCGAAGGCGGCAUUCUGGACCGACAUUGACGCUGAGGAGCGAAAGCCAGGGGAGCAAACGGG
rnacentral:rRNA from 1 species